GCCUGGGUGGCUCAGUCAGUUGAGCCUCUGACUUUGGCUCAGGUCACGAUCUCACGAUUUGUGGGUUCGAGCCCCGCGUCGGGUU
rnacentral:tRNA from 1 species